GGCUCAGGACGAACGCUGGCGGCGUGCCUAAUACAUGCAAGUCGAACGGUCUUUCUAUGGAAGCUUGCUUCCACUGAGAAGAUAGUGGCGAACGGGUGAGUAACACGUGGGUAACCUGCCCAUAAGAGGGGGGAUAACAUCCGGAAACGGGUGCUAAUACCGCAUAGUUUUCUUGAUCGCAUGAUCGGGAAGGGAAAGACGGCCUUUGUGCUGUCGCUUAUGGAUGGACCCGCGGCGUAUUAGUUAGUUGGUGAGGUAACGGCUCACCAAGACGAUGAUACGUAGCCGACCUGAGAGGGUGAUCGGCCACAUUGGGACUGAGACACGGCCCAAACUCCUACGGGAGGCAGCAGUAGGGAAUCUUCCGCAAUGGACGAAAGUCUGACGGAGCAACGCCGCGUGAGUGAAGAAGGUUUUCGGAUCGUAAAACUCUGUUGUCAGAGAAGAACAAGUUGGAGAGUAACUGCCCCAGCCCUGACGGUAUCUGACCAGAAAGCCACGGCUAACUACGUGCCAGCCGCCGC
rnacentral:rRNA from 1 species